rnacentral:lncRNA from 1 species
AAUAGUGUACGUAUCCUGUAUCACAUCCAGAUUGACUUUAGUGUACAUACCCUGUAUCGCAUCCGGGUUGGCUUCAGUAUCUUACUAAAUGAGGGUAUAAACUCUGUCUUGGACUAGAGAUCUUACCUAAUUCUGAUUUUGUAGGCACUCUCUCGCGUAAUGCUAGGCACUUUCGCAUAUGCAGCAAGUGUUGUUGAGGCGAUAGUAGG